GGUCGUUUGGUGUAGUGGUUAUCACGUCUGCUUUACAUGCGUUUCUAGCCUCAUAUCGCAGCAGGUCGCCGGUUCGAUCCCGGCAAUGACCU
rnacentral:tRNA from 1 species